rnacentral:tRNA from 1 species
AUUAACGUAGCAUAAAAAGUGUUUUUGUUUUAAGCGCAAAGGGUUUGUGUUAAUA